ACAUUGGAACUGAGACACGGUCCAAACUCCUACGGGAGGCAGCAGUGGGGAAUAUUGCACAAUGGGCGAAAGCCUGAUGCAGCAACGCCGCGUGAGUGAUGAAGGCCGUCGGGUCGUAAAACUCUGUCCUCAAGGAAGAUAAUGACGGUACUUGAGGAGGAAGCCCCGGCUAACUACGUGCCAGCAGCCGCGGUAAUACG
rnacentral:rRNA from 1 species